rnacentral:rRNA from 1 species
CACGGGGGGAGCAAGCGUUGUUCGGAAUCACUGGGCGUAAAGGGCGUGUAGGCGGUCAAGUAAGUGGAAUGUGAAAGCCCCCGGCUUACCCGGGGAUCUGCAUCCCAAACUGCUUGGCUUGAGUACGGGAGAGGAUAGGGGAAUUCCUGGUGUAGCGGUGAAAUGCGUAGAUAUCGAGAGGAACACCUGCGGCGAAGGCGGGUUGCUGGGCUGACACUGACGCUGAUGCGCGAAAGCCAGGGGAGCGAACGGG